GACGAACGCUGGCGGCGUGCCUAAUACAUGCAAGUAGAACGCUGAAGGAGGAGCUUGCUUCUCUGGAUGAGUUGCGAACGGGUGAGUAACGCGUAGGUAACCUGCCUGGUAGCGGGGGAUAACUAUUGGAAACGAUAGCUAAUACCGCAUAAUAGUAGAUGUUGCAUGACAUUUGCUUAAAAGGUGCAAUUGCAUCACUACCAGAUGGACCUGCGUUGUAUUAGCUAGUUGGUGAGGUAACGGCUCACCAAGGCAACGAUACAUAGCCGACCUGAGAGGGUGAUCGGCCACACGGGGACUGGGACACGGCCCAGACUCCUACGGGAGGCAGCAGUAGGGAAUCUGCGGCAAUGGACGGAAGUCUGACCGAGCAACGCCGCGUGAGUGAAGAAGGUUUUCGGAUCGUAAAGCUCUGUUGUAAGAGAAGAACGAGUGUGAGAGUGGAAAGUUCACACUGUGACGGUAUCUUACCAGAAAGGGACGGCUAACUACGU
rnacentral:rRNA from 1 species